rnacentral:rRNA from 1 species
UACGGGGGGGCAAGCGUUGUUCGGAAUCACUGGGCGUAAAGCGUCUGUAGGUGGUUUAAUAAGUCAACUGUUAAAUCUUGAGGCUCAACCUCAAAAUCGCAGUCGAAACUAUUAGGCUAGAGUAUAGUAGGGGUAAAGGGAAUUUCCAGUGGAGCGGUGAAAUGCGUAGAGAUUGGAAAGAACACCGAUGGCGAAGGCACUUUACUGGGCUAUUACUAACACUCAGAGACGAAAGCUAGGGUAGCAAAUGGG